GAUGAACGCUGGCGGCGCGCCUAACACAUGCAAGUCGAACGAUUACACAAUCUUCGGUUGCGUAUAAGGUGGCGGACGGCUGGGUAACACAUGGACAAACUGCCCCCUUCUUUUGGAUAGCCAAGGAAAAACGUGGAUAAUAGCGAAUACUUCAAACCACCUGCAUGGAAGACCCGAGAAAGUUCCGACGGUGCGCGAUGGACUGAGGGCGUGUCGGCUUGUGGGUGGGGUGAAGGCCUAGCACGGCAAUGAUCGGUAGCUGGGCUGAGAGGAUGAUAAGCCACACUGGAACUGAGCCACGGUACAGACUCCUACGGGAGGCAGCAGUGGGGAAUAUUGGACAAUGGGGGAAAGCCUGAUCCAGCCAUACCGCGUGGGUGAAGAAGGCCUUCGGGUUGUAAAGCCCUUUUGUUGGGAAAGAAAAGCAGCAGGUUAAUACGCCGCUGUUCUGACGGUACCCAAAGAAUAAGCACCGGCUAACUUCGUG
rnacentral:rRNA from 1 species